rnacentral:rRNA from 1 species
AAUUACCGAAGGAAAAGAAUAACAAGGAUUCCCCUAGUAACGGCGAGUGAAGAGGGAAGAGCUCAAAUUUGAAAGCUGGUACCUUCGGUAUCCGCGUUGUAACCUCGAGACACGUUUUCCGUGCGGCGCUAUGGACAAGUUCCUUGGAACAGGACAUCGUAGAGGGUGAAAAUCCCGUACUUGCCAUGGAUGUACCGUGCUUUGCGAUACGUGCUCUAAGAGUCGAGUUGUUUGGGAUUGCAGCUCAAAAUGGGUGGUAGACUCCAUCUAAAGCUAAAUAUCGGGGAGAGACCGAUAGCGAACAAGUACCGUGAGGGAAAGAUGAAAAGCACUUUGGAAAGAGAGUUAAAAGUACGUGAAAUUGUCGAAAGGGAAGCGCUUGAAGUCAGCCAUGCCGCUCAGGACUCAGCCUGGCUUUUGCUUGGUGUAUUUCCUGGGUAGCAAGUCAGCAUUGGUUUGGAUCGUCGGAGAAGCAUAGUCGGAAUGUGGCGCCCUCGGGCGUGUUAUAGCCUUCUAUUGGAUACGACGAUCUAGACCAAGGAACGCAGCGCGCCUUAUGGCGGGUCUUCGGACACCUUCGCGCUUAGGAUGCGGCGUAUGGCUU